rnacentral:rRNA from 1 species
GCAGUCGUACGAAAUUAUUUUAGUGGCGGACGGGUGAGUAACGCGUGAGGACCUUUUAAUAGGAAAGGAAUACAAACAAUUAAAUCCUUAUAAGCCUUAUAGUGAAAAAAGAAAUUUGCCUAGAGAUGAACUCGCGUCUGAUUAGUUAGUUGGUUGGGUAAUGGCCUACCAAGACGAUGAUCAGUAGUUGGUUUGAGAGGAUGACCAGCCACAUUGGAACUGAGACACGGUCCAAACUCCUACGGGAGGCAGCAGUGGGGAAUUUUCUGCAAUGGGCGCAAGCCUGACAGAGCAAUGCCGCGUGAGGGAUGACGGCCUUUGGGUUGUAAACCUCUUUUUUCAAGGAGGAAGUUCUGACGUGUACUUGAAGAAUAAGCAUCGGCUAACUCCGUGCCAGCAGCCGCGGUAAUACGGGGGAUGCAAGUGUUAUCCGGAAUUAUUGGGCGUAAAGUGUCUGUAGGUGGUUUAAUAAGUCUAUUGUUAAAGCUUGAAACUUAACUUCAGAGAUGCAGUAGAAACUAUUAAACUAGAGUAUAAUUGAGGUAGAAGGAAUUUCCAGUGGAGUGGUGAAAUGCGUAGAUAUUGGAAAUAACACCAAUUGCGAACGACUUCUAUUAAAUUAUUCUGA